GUCUACGGCCACACCGCCCUCGAUACACCGUGUCUCGGAAGUUAAGCAGGGUCAAGCCUUGUUAGAAUGUGGAUGGGAGACCUUGUGGAAAUCCCGAGUGCUGUAGGCU
rnacentral:rRNA from 1 species